UGUUAUGUACAUGCCUACAUCAUUAAUGCAAUGGAUCCCAUCAAAACUUCAUAGUUAAGCGUGCUUGGGAUAGAGUAGUACUGGGAUGGGUGACCUCUUUGUAAGUCCUAGUGUUUUACAU
rnacentral:rRNA from 1 species